AGGAUAAACGCUGGCGGCGUGCCUAACACAUGCAAGUCGAACGCGCUUUUUUCGCAAGAGGAGAGCGAGUGGCGGACGGGUGAGUAACACAUGGGUACCUACCUUGGAGUGAGGGAUACCGGCGAGAAAUCGCCGACAAUACCGCAUACGCUUCUCUUCACCGGGAAGCAAAGUUGCGCAAGCGACGCUCUGAGAUGGGCCUGUGGCCGAUUAGCUAGUUGGUGGGGUAACGGCCUACCAAGGCGACGAUCGGUAGC
rnacentral:rRNA from 1 species